CAUCCGACGCUUUAGACCUCUCGGCCAUCUCUCC
rnacentral:tRNA from 5 species